rnacentral:tRNA from 1 species
UGAGCAAAGACAGCAUCGUCCUGUCGGGCGUCUUCACAAAGUACCUGCAUUCAGAGAAUCAUGUCGGCCAGGCCGAUGUGAGAGUCCCUUUUGGGGCCUUAGCUCAGCUGGGAGAGCACCUGCUUUGCAAGCAGGGGGUCGUCGGUUCGAUCCCGACAGGCUCCACCAUGUUUGAGUGUGUUCCGGAAAGUAUUUCCGGGUCUGUAGCUCACGUGGUUAGAGCGCACCCCUGAUAAGGGUGAGGUCGGUAGUUCGAGUCUACCCACACCCACCAUUCUCUGAAUGACGCAUACAUUCUAUCUUUAUACGCAUCACCACUGUGGCUGGUACGUGUUCUUUUAAAACUUGUGACGUAUCGAGCGUUUGAGAUGUUCUAUCAAACAUGUCGUGAGGCUAAGGCGAGAGACACAAGUCUCUUUAUUGAUUGAGUCGUUAUAUUCGUAUCCGGGCUUUGUACCCCCGGGUCAUGUGUAUCCCACAGCGACUUUUGAGUAUAUGUGGACACGAAAAAACGCACACACUGGGCAUGAAUGUACAAAAAAGGCCCUGAUUAUCUUCGGAUGAGUUCGACGCUUGCGUUGGAGGGCCAUGUUGGCUCGCACUUGUAAAUGACCCUUGAAACCCCACUUGACCGCCUCGAGAUGGGAGGGGUUCUGCGAAGAAAGAGAAAACUGUGAAAGGCGAAAGGGCCGGCUGUGGAGCUCGGCCCCCCGAAAACGGGUAGCCGCAGAGUGUUUCUUCCCCGGACGAUCUGGACGAGUGAUGUGGACGGAAAGAACAGGGUAUGGGAGGGGGGGGGGAUAGCCGCAGGUC